rnacentral:rRNA from 1 species
UAAAGCUAAUAAGGGCAUAUGGUGGAUGCCUUGGCACCAAGCGCCGAAGAAGGACGUGACAAGCUGCGAUAAGCUACGGUGAGCUGCAAAUAAGCUUUGACCCGUAGAUCUCCGAAUGAGGAAACUCACUUCCGGUAAUGCGGAAGUAUCCAUGUAUGAAUAUAUAGUACAUGUGAAGGGAACCCGGGGAACUGAAACAUCUAAGUACCCGGAGGAAAAGAAAGUAAAUAAACGAUUUCGUAAGUAGUGGUGAGCGAACGCGAAAGAGCCCAAACCGGAGAAAUUUAUUUCGAUGGGGUUCGGACCUGCAUAAUUCAAAAAAUCGUUAGUCGAACAUAGUUGGAAAACUAGGCGACACAGAGUAAUAGCCUCGUAGGCGAAAACGAUUUCAGAUGGCGGGUAUCCAGAGUAGCACAGGACACGUGGAAUCCGGUGUGAACAUGUGAGGACCAUCUCAUAAGGCUAAAUACGACUUGGUGACCGAUAGCGUAUAGUACCGUGAGGGAAAGGUGAAAAGGACCCCGGGAGGGGAGUGAAAGAGAACCUGAAACCAUAUGCUUACAAGCAGACACAGCACAACUUAAUGUGUGGUGUCGUACUUUUUGUAGAACGGGCCGGCGAGUUACGUUGCGUAGCGAGGUUAAGUGAUUAAGUCACGGAGCCGAAGCGAAAGCGAGUCUGAAACUGGCGACAUAGUUGCGUGACGUAGACCCGAAACUGGAUGACCUAACCAUGAGCAGGUUGAAGCAGUGGUAAGACACUGUGGAGGACCGAACCCACGUUCGUUGAAAAGACCGGGGAUGACUUGUGGUUAGCGGAGAAAUUCCAAUCGAAUCCAGAUAUAGCUGGUUCUCCUCGAAAUAGCUUUAGGGCUAGCCUCUGAAUAGAUUACUGAUGGUAGAGCACUGAAUGGGCUAGGGGGCUUCACAGCUUACUGAACCUUAUCAAACUUCGAAUGUCAGAUAAUUGUUUUCAGGGAGUCAGACAGCGUGAGAUAAGUUUCGUUGUCAAAAGGGAAACAGCCCAGAUCUACAACUAAGGUCCCUAAGUACAAGUUAAGUGGUAAAGGAUGUGUCAAUUCCAAAACAACCAGGAUGUUGGCUUAGAAGCAGCCACUCAUUCAAAGAGUGCGUAAUAGCUCACUGGUCGAGAGAGGGUGCGCCGAAAAUUACCGGGGCUAAAACUUGUCACCGAAGUUUAGGAAUGUAAUUUAUUACAUUGGUAGAGGAGCAAUCUAUGCGGGCUGAAGCGGUAUCGAAAGGGGCCGUGGACUGCAUAGAAGAGAGAAUGCCGGCAUAAGUAGCGAGAGGGAAGUGAGAAUCUUCCCCGUCGAAUGCCUAAGGUUUCCUGGGGAAGGUUUGUCCCCCCAGGGUAAGUCGGGACCUAAGCCGAGGCCGAAAGGCGUAGGUGAUGGACAGCAGGUAGAUAUUCCUGCACCACCGAGCGACGUUUAAAUGAGGCAAUGACACAGUAGGAUAGUCAAUCCGCGGAGUUGGAUUUCUGCGGCCAAAUCGUGAGGCUUGCACGUAGUGAAGUACGCGUGCUUUAAGGCUGGGCGAUGAUGGGGAGUGAAAAUUAGUAACGAAGUUGAUGAAUUCACACUGGCGAGAAAAGUUGCUAAAUAUGUUGUUAGGUGCCCGUACCGCAUACCGACACAGGUGGGCGAGGAGAAAAUCCUAAGACGGACGGGAUAACCCUUGUUAAGGAACUCUGCAAAAUGACCCCGUAACUUCGGAAGAAGGGGAGCCUACGAAAGUAGGCCGCAGUGAAGAGGCCCAAGCAACUGUUUACCAAAAACACAGGUCUCUGCAAAAUCGUAAGAUGAUGUAUAGGGGCUGACGCCUGCCCAGUGCUGGAAGGUUAAGGGGAUGUGUUAGCGCAAGCGAAGCACGGAACUUAAGCCCCAGUGAACGGCGGCCGUAACUAUAACGGUCCUAAGGUAGCGAAAUUCCUUGUCAGGUA